UACAGAGGUCUCAAGCGUUGUUCGGAUUCAUUGGGCGUAAAGGGUGCGUAGGCGGCGCGGUAAGUCGGGUGUGAAAUCUCGGAGCUUAACUCCGAAACUGCAUUCGAUACUGCCGUGCUUGAGGACUGGAGAGGAGACUGGAAUUUACGGUGUAGCGGUGAAAUGCGUAGAUAUCGUAAGGAAGACCAGUGGCGAAGGCGGGUCUCUGGACAGUUCCUGACGCUGAUGGACGAAAGCGUGGGUAGCGAACAGG
rnacentral:rRNA from 1 species